rnacentral:rRNA from 1 species
GAUGAACGCUGGCGGCGUGCCUAAUACAUGCAAGUCGAGCGAACGGACGAGAAGCUUGCUUCUCUGAUGUUAGCGGCGGACGGGUGAGAAACACGUGGAUAACCUACCUAUAAGACUGGGAUAACUUCGGGAAACCGGAUCUAAUACCGGAUAAUAUUUUGAACCGCAUGGUUCAAAAGUGAAAGACGGUCUUGCUGUCACUUAUAGAUGGAUCCUCGCUGCAUUAGCUAGUUGGUAAGGUAACGGCUUACCAAGGCAACGAUGCAUAGCCGACCUGAGAGGGUGAUCGGCCACACUGGAACUGAGACACGGUCCAGACUCCUACGGGAGGCAGCAGUAGGGAAUCUUCCGCAAUGGGCGAAAGCCUGACGGAGCAACGCCGCGUGAGUGAUGAAGGUCUUCGGAUCGUAAAACUCUGUUAUUAGGGAAGAACAUAUGUGUAAGUAACUGUGCACAUCUUGACGGUACCUAAUCAGAAAGCCACGGCUAACUACGUG